rnacentral:piRNA from 1 species
UGGGUCUCACAUUCUCAGAGCGACAGU